UACGUAGGUGGCAAGCGUUGUCCGGAUUUAUUGGGUUUAAAGGGUGCGUAGGCGGCUUUGUAAGUCAGUGGUGAAAUACUCCAGCUUAACUGGAGGGGUGCCAUUGAUACUGCGGAGCUUGAGUACAGAUGAGGUAGGCGGAAUUGACGGUGUAGCGGUGAAAUGCAUAGAUAUCGUCAAGAACACCGAUAGCGAAGGCAGCUUACUGGGCUGUAACUGACGCUGAUGCACGAAAGUGUGGGGAGCAAACAGG
rnacentral:rRNA from 1 species